rnacentral:rRNA from 1 species
CGAUGAGUUUGAUCGUGGCUCAGGACGAACGCUGGCGGCGUGCCUAAUACAUGCAAGUCGAGCGGACAGAAGGGAGCUUGCUCCCGGAUGUUAGCGGCGGACGGGUGAGUAACACGUGGGUAACCUGCCUGUAAGACUGGGAUAACUCCGGGAAACCGGAGCUAAUACCGGAUAGUUCCUUGAACCGCAUGGUUCAAGGAUGAAAGACGGUUUCGGCUGUCACUUACAGAUGGACCCGCGGCGCAUUAGCUAGUUGGUGAGGUAACGGCUCACCAAGGCGACGAUGCGUAGCCGACCUGAGAGGGUGAUCGGCCACACUGGGACUGAGACACGGCCCAGACUCCUACGGGAGGCAGCAGUAGGGAAUCUUCCGCAAUGGACGAAAGUCUGACGGAGCAACGCCGCGUGAGUGAUGAAGGUUUUCGGAUCGUAAAGCUCUGUUGUUAGGGAAGAACAAGUGCAAGAGUAACUGC